ACAUUUAUUUGGUUUCCUUUUUAGGGUUCCGUAGCCAAAUGGCAUAAAACGGAACCCUUAUAGUUUCGUCAUGUCCGUCUGUCUGUCUGUCUGUCUGUCUGUCUGUCCGAGGCUUUGCUCCGUGGUCGUUAGUGCUAGAAAGCUAAAAUUUGGCACGGAUAUAUAAAUCAAUAAAGCCGACAAAGUCGUAUAUUAAAAUCUAAAUUUUUUUUUUAGGGUACGUCCCCUACACGUAAAGUGGGGGUGACAUUUUCCUAAGACAUUUUUCGCUUCAACCCUACAGUGUGGGGUAUCGUUGGAAAGGUCUUUUAAAACUAAUAGGGGUUUUCAAGAAACAUUUUUUGAUAAAGUAAAUAUAUUCGGAGAUAAUCGCUCCGAAAGAAAAAAAAAAUGUGUCCCCCCCUCUAACUUUUGAACCAUAGGUCCAAUAAAUAUGAAAUAAAUCGUGGAAGUAGAGCUUAAGAAAGACAUUAAACGAAAACUAUAGCAGACAUGAUCAGUUUAGCUGUUUUUGAGUUAUCGCAAAAAGUUUUCCCUUCAUAGUAAAAAGACUUACUUUAAUUAGGUACUGAUUAUGCAAAUUUGCCUAUUUGUUUAACUCGGGUGAAAGGUACCGUUUCAUCCCUUGGUUAACAAUUUACUAUACUUUAAGCUCCAGUUUAGCUUAUUGUGACGGAAGAGUAACUACGGAACCCUACACUGAGUGUGGCCCGACAUGCUCUUGGCCGGUUAUUUACUAUGCUUUUAGAUUUUAGCGCCAUGAUAUGUCUCAAGACAGAUUCAAAGUAUUAAGACAGAAUCCGAGAUAAAAUUCAUAUUCGCAGCUGUUAAAAAUAUAGAACUGAAGAUUUUUACUAUUGUCAAUACAGUUCCCAGACAAACUCUUAGACGAUGUAUUUUAGAGAAGCAGGAACAUAAUUCCAUAUAGGGAAGGAAACUAUUUCUUAUUAUUCACACUCAGGAAGAGAAUAGCUGGCAUUUUAUUAGUGGCAUUACACCUGUGCAGGCUAGUAAAAUGAACAUAUGUGGGUUCUAAUGACUUUACCUAGGUUGGUCCUGGAUAUUUUGGUCCUGACACAAAUAGGAAACAGUCAAACUGUUUUUUUUUUUUGCUGACCCUUUUACUGCUGACUGUACCUACUUCUUCUGCAUGUACGCAUGCGUAGCAAAUACUUCGCGAGACGCUGCUAAUAGCCUAAACUCGAUGUGUUUGUGUUCUCCAUCGAGGACUAUGUACCUUAUUUGGGUACCGUCCGACUGCAUCAUCAGAUCAGUUCCAUGUUAGCAUAUUAUUACAUUGUUAUUGGAAUCACGGAAGUACUCCGAAUUUCAACCAGAUCAGAUACCGGGAAGUGCUUCAUAUUUUGGUUACAAGAUUUUAAGCACACAUAUACAAAUUUAUAGAACAUACACGGGUAUUUAUUUGGUUGGGACACGAGGUGGCACAAAAAAGUUGAUCGACCCAUAAACGAAACCGGUUUGAAAAAAACCUGUUUCGGAGCCCUGUAAGCCUUACCACGAUUUUGGCACCGACAUAUUCGGUAACGUCUGCGUAACUUACUUUCGUAAAACGUAACGUCUCAAUCUCGUGGUAAGGCUGGUAGCUCACGACUUUGCACUUCAGAUAAGGAAUGACCACUGAGAGAGGGGUACAACUAAAUGGCAGUUGGAACAAUGUUGUCAGCACUUAAAAACCAGAGUCGGGGUUUGGCAUUACGAAUGACUUUUUGUCAUACCCCUGUUUUAACUUACCCCAACGCACUUAAUUAUUUAUUAUUUAAUUAAAACGCACAUUCGGUACAAAACCGGACACUCACGCAACCUGCUAGUGAUCAUCAUGACUGUCGCAACGACAAGAAGCAGAUCGGAGUCGCUCAGCCGCGCCCGAUUACGUCGUUACGCUUCAGGGAACGCGGAGAAAUUGAAGUCUACGAUCCUCUAGAAUGUUUGCAGCAAAUUACAAAACUUCAAGUAAUUUAAUUGUUCCUCGCACCGUUAGCUCAUUUACGAGAAUUUGGCGAUUUACUUGAUUUGCGUGAAUAUACAGUAUCGGAUCGUGAAGCAAAGCUUUGAACUGGCUAAAGUCUAAAUGGAGUAGACUUAGCCAGGUUAUAAGUUGUGUUGCUAAGAUUUUUACUGAUGGAAAAGUUAUAGGUAUUAUUUAUGUAAAUGGAUUAAAAGCUUAUUUAAUGCUGAAUUAUUUAGAAUAUAAUUUUACAUAAUUAAAUUUUUUAGUAUUGCAUAAUUCUAUGUAUUAUUUAAAAAAAAGUUUUUUAUAAAAAAAACAUGCAAAAAUACGCGGCCUCUUCAAGGUGAGUUUGAAAACGAUUUUAUUUUAAACGCCCAAGUAGUGGAAAUGCUACAGUAUGCUACAUAUUUGUUAUCAACUCAUAAAGCGCUUUCAUUUAAUACAUUACAUAGUAUAUUUUCAGAAAAAAAAAGUGUGUUAGUAGUUUCCUAUAACAUAAAAUUAUACUGUUAUUCAAAUGUAUGUUCUUCUCGUAUUUGUGUGACUGAUUUUGUCGUCGGUAACAGUCGUAGCGAAUCUACUAGUUGUAUAUUAUCAAAACUUCGUCCUUAUAUUAGUCUAAGGUAAUUGAUACCAAUUAACUUUGGUGAAUCUGCAAACGAGAAUAUUAAAAAUAUAUUUUUCAACACACUUGCUCAAAACGACGUUUUUAUUCCAACGAUUUUUGGCUCAUAAUCCUAGAUAUUAAACACGCGUGCUUUUUCAGUAUAUUAUAACACUUGGGCUUUUUCAUUAUAUUAUCCGACUGAGUUAAAAAGGUAACUGAUUGCAAAUAAUAUGCAUGGAAACGGAGCCUUCUUAAUUUGGUCGAGUAAUAUUUAUUUUUCUAAUCAACUAGGUUCAAAUGUUAGUUCAAAGAGGUUUUAUCACACCAAACAUAAUUUAUAGAUUAAAUUAUCUCGUAAAUUACAUUAAUGAAUAAACAUAACAUUUUAUGGAUUUGAUCUCCAUCCGUCGAAAAGAAAUACGAAAAUAUUAGCUUUUAUACAUUUUUUUAAUUGGCUGUUUGUCGAAUUCGUGCGCGCCUUUGCCUUGUGCGCGCAUUGGAAUCGUGCGUAAAAAAAAAUAACGCGCCAGCCAUUUUCCGUAUUUGUCAUAAAAUUGGAAUAGUUUUGCAUGUUUUUAGUUUAUAUAUUGACGAACAUGUUGUCAUUUUCAAGCAUUGAAAAUGAAGAACACAUAAAAUUGACGCUGCCAGUAAUACUAAUAGAGGCAAGAGCCGAGAGCGAUAGCUUUUUACCAUCAAAAUCGGGUGAAAAAUAAUUGGCGGCAUGUGAAACUUUUAUUUAAUGGAAAAUCAGCAAAAACGUCCAGUCUUUCUUGGAAAACGUGUUGGUAGCUUAUUCCAAUGAACUGGCGAAUAAGUGCCUACAAGCCCAGCACGCUUUGGUGCAAUUAUUCGAUUUUAAAACUGUAAGCUACCAUUUUGAAAAUCGUAGGUAAGUACUGUUUUGACAAAAUAUCUGAUUUAUUAUAUUUGUUUUUUCCUCGCAAGUGUGUUGAAAAACGUCGUAUGAAACGCGUGUGCAUUGGUAAUUACCCACAUCGGCUUUCUUAUUGCGCGCUCGCUUACAGCUCGCGCGCACAAUAUCGCCUCGUGUGUAAUGACGAACUUAGCACACUUGUAUCAUAAUGUACUAUUAGGGGUGGUCAUUGCUCCCUUACCACACAGAUUUCACCCUAUUAGGUAGGUCAAAGCUUCUUUACAACCAUAAACAGCACAUGCAGGCAUUUUAUUAGAGCUUAACAAGGACAGAACGAUUUCAAAACAAUGAAUAAUACUGAAGUAUUUUUUUUGUACUGUGUCAGAACUCUUAGCUCGGUAUGGCAGAUAAAAAAAAAUAAUGAAAGGCCACUACUUCCUCAAAACCUACAAACUCUUAUAAUCCUAAAUGGCUGUUUGAAGUCUCGAAAUAAAGCUUAUUUGCAUUUUUGUAAAGUUGAAAGUAGUUGGGUUUCAGUUACAUAAAAUGGCACAUUUAGCUUUUUUAUGAGUUUUAUGCUUCUAGACUUAUUAUUUGUAUAUCUUGUAAAUUGUAGCGAAAGUUAGAUUUUUGUAUAAAUUGUUUAUCUUUUCUUGAUAACUGUUAAAUGAUAUCCACAAAUAUCUGCGAUUGAUGGAUCUAAUCUCAAAAAACUUAACUGACAAUAUCCGAUUUCGAUUGAUUUCAAAAAUGGUACACAUUAUUAUGUAAGCAAGGGCAACCCAAAGACUACUGAAUAACGUAAAUUAAUUAAUUUGAAACUUAGUAGGCCACUGUUACGCUCUAGCUCAUAAAUUAGAAAACUAAAGUAAAAGUAAGUAUAUCAACUAAUUUCAAGUGACAUAGAAAAGUGUAUCGUGUCUCAAUUUUUUUUUAAGUAUAUUUUAAACGACUAAAAUGGAUUCUAAACCGUCGUUGUUUUUAAUUGCGUGUAAUUCUGACAGCUGUCAUAAUUUGACGUUUCAGGGAUAGUGAACAUUUUUUUACUGUACAUAUUAUUAUCAAUUAUUUUUAUAUGAAGUUAAUAUUUCAUGCAUGAACUCUGAAAAUUUUGAAAAUGGCCAGUUCCCUUGAACGUAAAGUCAUGACGUAAACAAUAAUGCAGUUUGUUUCAAAUGGAUGGCAGAUAGAUGUAAGGCUUGAGAUACACUUGUAUUGUAAGUUUUACUUCCGUAAGUAAGGACAAAGCUAUUUGUGAAUGUAGAAUGAGAUAAUGAUAUUCAUCUCUCACUCUAUAGUAUAGCUGUGUCCCUACUUACGUAAGUUUACCGGCCGCCUAAGGAGAACACUCUCACGGCUCGGUCACGACCUCGUGCGGCGGUAGCAGCGGCGAGUGCGGCCAUAGGUUGGAGUGGAACACAGCGACCCGACCUUUCGUUCCCACCUAUGGACGCCGCUUGCCGCUGCCUCUGUUGUAAAAACGGCGGAUUACGUCAAAAUGUUUGAUAAAACUCAAUCAAUUAUAUUGUUUGAUUUUUAGGAAAAUACAAAGAAUGACAAUAAUUUUAAGCACGUGACAUAGACACUUAUUAUAAUUAUAUCGCAGUGGCACAGAAUAACUAAUAGUACUACCGUACAGAAAAUUCACUCCUUCACAAAAGUCAUAUUUAGGUAUAAAAUUAUACCUAUACUCGCCGCCUGCAAGCAAAAUUGAAACUUAUAACCGCGCACGAACCGUGAAUCUUCUUUGCGAGCCGCAGUUUUAUGACCCAGCUGUGAGUGCCGGCACAGGGUUGUCACUUGACAAGUUUUUGUACCUGUACCUACUGAUUAUUUUUAAGGUAAAUAAUUAUGUAGGUAGGAAUUACAAACGUUGAUUCUGUAAAUAUAUAAUUUUUAUCCGGAGAUAGUAUAUCUGAUUCUCACGGAAGUAUAUGUCGGUCAGUUCCUAAUAUUGUUUCUGGGCAACCAAUAUUCAAUAAAUUAAGGAUGUUUAUUUCAACUCUUACUAAGUAAGGACUCCGGGAACUAAAGAAGAACUGCGAACCGAUCGGGCGCCGCCGCCUUUACGCUUGCUUCCAAGACGACGCGCCAUAAUCAUAGUCUAAGAGCUGGCAACUUAAUUAUGUUAAUUGUUAAGUUAGUUUAUUGGACCGAUGGGUGUUUAACUGGGUAUUUGUAACGAAAUCAAAUACAAAUAGGUACAAAAAUGAAAUGUGUUUAUUACAACAUUAUCUUUUAAUUGUUUUACUUUUAAGUAUUAUUUAAUUGAUUUAUCCCCAAUUUAAAAGUUCGAUUAUCAAAUUUCAGAGUCGAAAGUAUACAAUCUUAAUAAAUAGUCCGCAGGGAAACACGAACAUGGCAAUUACCUACGUAAAUGAAUCUCUUGCAGUAAUUGAAAUAUUUCACUUCGAGGAUUUCCGUGUAAAUAGUGCUUAAAAUUGUGUGUAAAUGCAAUCCCUAAUUUUUGAACGUACUCAUUUAUUUCCUGAGAAGGCACUCGGCGGCAAAAUUUGUUAAACCUGUCGUGCUUCGAGGCCCUCGCACGCUUAAAAUUCCACUAUUUGAACCACUCGCUACGCUCGUAGAUCAAUUUUGAAAUCUUUCGUUGCCUCGGGUCUCAAUAUAAUCACAAGAAGUUAAACAACAACUUUGCCCCCUUGUAUAAUAAAUAACUAUUUGACCACACCUAUGCGAGGAAACUACAAUCUGAUUUCAUUGCAACAAUUCUUAUUACAUGUAAUAAAUAUUAAUUAUAUGUAAUAUUUAUUAUUCAAAAUAAUCGUUUAAGUAUUAUUAGUCUAUCCAACAAGCUAAUUAACGCGUGAACAAUGAAUCAAAAUCUAAUUACUUUAACUCUCUAGAGGAUAAAAUGCAACUUUACUCACUGUUUUUAAACGGUAAAAUCAGCCUUUACGAGCGGGUGUGGUGAAAAAUAUAUUUUGUUGUGUGAAUCCGGGAUCGGAAUUGUUGAAAAGAAAGUACGAUUCGAGAAAGGUCACUAGCUCUUAGACUAUAUCAAUCAUCAACCUACUUGACGACGUAAUUAUAGAUACCUUCUUGUUUAACAUUCUGUGAUACAUUGUUGUUGAUAUAAGUUAUUCAUAAGGAAUAAUUUAGUAGGUGCUUAAUAGACCUUACCCAGGCUAUAGAAAAUUUUUUAGAAGUAGGUAUUUACCAAGUCUAAGCUUAGGAAUGCAUAAUUCAUUUUAAUUUGGUCUAAAGCGCUUUAGUUUUAUGCAAACAAAACGAAUCAAAAUGUUAUCGAAUUUGAUUAAUGAGAUGUUAUGGUUUACAGUUUAAAUUCAUCAAAAUGACUUAACUUUCAAUAUCGUCCAGAAUUUUAAAAAAUGUUAUAUCUGUUUCCUUGUUUAUUCAGACAUCAGUUAACAGAACAAUAUCUUUUAUACGGAUUAGAUCGAGAUUUAGGUUUCGAAUCCAUUGUGUAUUUUCAAAUUUGCGCGAGCGCCACGUGAUACGACUAUCGUGAUCGUGCGAGCCGAGCGGCAGCCCGCUGCUAUACGCCUCGGGAGGCGCGCCGGCCAAAUAUACCUAAACUGCGUAGUGACACCCCCCUGGCAGUGGUCAGAUAUGCUAAAAAGAGUGUUCGUAUGGAGGAUAUAGCACAAUCAUGAAAUUUGGUAUGUAUACAAAUUGAAGGCCUUUUUUCAUGCCCAUACCAUUUGACAUUUGUGGACCUCGAGGAAUCGCAGCUAUCUUGGAAAAUAUGUACCAUCAAGGAGAAAUUCGCUUUUUACUCCAAAUCUACAUUCUGUAUGAAAAUAUAGUUCAAGGCAACAUUAAAGCUUAUUAAAUUCUACACCAAAAAGUUCUAGAUAUCUUUGCGGAAAAAAUACAUCUUGUUAUGGAAAAUCCUUGCUACACUUAUACACUUUCAGGGGACAUUCUCUUCAUAGGAAACUCGGAGGAAUAUGAAUUCCACGUGAUCUACCCCAAUAUUAACAUUUUACUCAACUGCGACUUAACCAGAAAGUAGGGUUAUUGGUUUAAGUACUGAUGAUUCAGUACUCCCUGUAGCUAUGGAUACUAGACGGAUUUUAUUAAAUACGUAUCGGGAGAUUCCUCCUAUCCAUCACAACUUGUUUACACUUGAUUUUUACAGAAAAAUUAAGAGGACUCCGAAUAUUAAAUCAUAUUUUUUAAUACAGUUGCUCAAUAAGUGCUACUUUACGUAGCUGUUUAGCGUGCGGAAAGUUGAAUUUCGCGAACUAGUGCUUUUUACUUUUCCAUUUGUUCCAAUUCAUGACUACUUAUUGAUGAGUGUUAGUUUCCUUUUAAAGUCGUAAUCAACAUAAAAACCUACUGUUAAUGUAAAAAUAAUAAAUAUAAGCAUAUUUCAUAUUUUAUUACUUACCUCUUCAUCCUUUAUAACACGUUUAUUUUUUAAUAUUGAAUAUUGAAAAACUGUUCUUCAUAAGUUGUCUGAAUGGAACGGAAUAGCUGCCGAAACGCCUAUCAAAGCAGAGGCGUUUUUUCUUACUACAAGAAUGAUUUAAGAAGGCAAUAUUCGAUAUUGUUUUCUUACAAUUUAAAUAUACGAUACACAAAUAAUCGUAAAUAACGAUACUUAGGUAAUAAUAGUAUAGUAAUGUAUAUUUACAAUUGUUUCUGUCUUAUAGAACAUGCAUAAAAAAAGUACUUGUUGUUUUUCUUACUUUUUCGCAAUGUAUUAAAAAACGUCGUUCGAUACACGUGCAGAAAUGUCAUUCUACACUCGUUCCGAGUCUUGCCACUCGCCUACGGCUCGCGGCAAGACAUCUCCGUGCUCAUGAAGUAAUGACAUACUUUCCGCACUAGUAUCGAAAUGUACUUAGAUUAUCUUCUAGCGCCUAAACUAUUAAACGGAGUUCAAUGAAAUAGACAUAAGUAGAUCCAUAAUUAGUACACGAGUGCUAUGCAAUACAAAGUUACUAAAAUUAACGGACACAAACUUUUUAGGGCUAAAUAAUGGGAUUGUAAAUAAUACAUGGAAAUCAUUCCAAAAAAGAGGUGUUGCCUUACAUCAAAUGAGGUAGUUCUGUUUUAUAUAUAUAUUGGUAGUGAUGAAAUAGUAAUGACAAAUCCCGGUUUUCCACCUUGAAAGCCGUUCGGAUCACUGUGUGUAUAAUGUCACUGUGUGUGUAAUAAUCCCACCAAAAACAUAAAUAUAAAAAAGGAGAGCCAAGUUCAAUACAAAAAUUAUGCUUGGCUGUGGGCUUCGCCGCAAAAAUAAUGGAAAUCGAAAUGUGUGCCAAGUUCUAUACAUAAUCCAAAUAUGUAUUUAUAGGAAAAAAUAACAUUAUGAACAAGUAUUAAUCUCUAUUUCUUUGCUUUAUUGGAUACAUAUAACAAUUGCUGUUAUUUAAAAAACUAGUGAGUUCUUAAAGUAGGUUAGAUUUGACUUGGCCAGUUUUCAUUACAUCAGUCAUUUUAUAAAGUUAAUCAUCAUAUAUAUAUAUAUUAAUUCUGGUAAAAACUGGCCAAGUUAAUGGCCAACUAAAAUGAAAAAAAAAAAAAAAAAAAUUUUUUUUGUAUCUAUUACGUUUUAAUAAAUAUUUUGUCGGGAAUUGCUACAUAAAGGUGUGGUGUGUAAUUGUAAUCUCCUUGAAGAUUAUAAAUUCAGAGUAAAUUAUAUUGUAUAGCAAAAAGCCGCAGGUUCAGUGGCUACAAUAUAGUCUUGCGAUUACAUUAACGACAAAAAAUAGAACAAUCUAGGAUUGGUCAAUACUUUAAAUUGAAUCUCCUGCACGUACCCCCCCCCCCCCUUCAAAAAAAGGAUUUCGGACCUCUAAAUUUUGAUAGCUCGGCAGAUCUUCAUUUCUAGUACCAUGAUAAAGAUAAAAAAAGUUUCAUGGAUGUACAUAUUUUGCCGCCAACAUUUGGUAUUUUUCCUGUACUAGAAAGCGUGUAGUCCGAGGUCUUCAUUGAUAACUUUUUUUUAGGGAGCUUCUCUUCACAGACAUCUGUAUUGCCAAUAACUUGCUUCCGGACGGGGCUUUUUUUGCAAUUCUCGCCUUCACUGCCUUUAUUAGAGCUGGGGUCCGAACGGUGCGUGGUCUUCCAGACCUCUUGCGGUCAUCGAAGCUCUGAGUUCUAUUGUAUCUAUUAAUUGUGCUAUAAACAAAUUGUUUGUUGAUUUUUAGGUUUUCAAGCAACUUCAAAAUCAUGUUUGGCGGGUGCCCAUAUUUGUGCAACGCAAUUACUGCGAUACGAUUCUCUUUUAGGCCCCAAUUCCUUAUGGAUACGACGAGAUAAGCGUUAUGUGUUGUAUAUAAUUAUACCUCACAAAUCCACCACAUUGUCAUUUUUUAAUAUUUUGAUAGCAUUUGUUUUAACGGAAAUAAAGAGGUUGCAAAUCGAGUAACAGAACUUAGUAACCAACUAGGUAGAAGCCUGAAUUUUCAGUAACCAAGCAGGCAUUGUUAUAAACACAGUAGUAUAUUUAAAAUUCAUUGAAUUUGAACCAGUAGCUUAAGAAUUAUAACUAAGUAGUCAAAGUUUCUUAAUACCCCCUUAUUCAUAAACGUGUACUAAAGUUACGAUGCCGCUAUCAUCGUUUGUCCCUUUCCAUCAUAUCAAUACGUCGGAAGUGCUUUUUCGUAUCAACAUCGCCUCCCCCUUGUAGUCGCCCCUUCCUAGUCCUUGCUGCAGGAUCUGCUGGCUGGAGUUACCCCAUAAGUAUCAGUAUCAUUAUAACAGAAUGUCUUGGCCAUCGUAUGAAAACACAAUGUAUCUCACAAGUAUUAAUUAUUAUAUUAAAAUAGAUUAUUUAGUGCGAUUGCCAAGUCAAUCUAUUAAUUUAAAACGUAAAAGAUUUUUAAUAUUGGUAUGGUCACUAUAAAAUGUUGUUAGGUUAGCAAAUUACGUAAUAACUUAAGACAGAAGUCCCUUAUUACAUGAAUCUCACUACUUUUUAAGGUAGAAGAACUUAGUUGUGAGUCUUGUUUUUUUACUAGUUAUGUUUUUGAUGACAUCUGGUUUACUUGGAAAAUAAAAUAUAUGAUGAUAUUGUUUUGAUAUUGAACGCCGAUGCAAUAAUUUGGCCACUUCCUUCGCUUUAGCAACACCGGAGAUAACAUCCCCCUUCCUUAUUGCCAGCCGGAGCCGCGCCUCGUACCUCCUCCGCUAACUAACGCUUAUUAAACUUCAACAACGCUCGGCUUCUGUGAUCACUUCACCAUCUUGUUUGCUCUUUUAACUUAGAUUAAUCGUUGGCUCUUUUUUGAUACCGUAGCGUAAACCAGGCUUGAAUUGGAGAGUUUGCUUAAUACAAACACGUAUUUCUCCAAAGUUAAAUAAGUCUGUAGUCUUCAAUACAUGGUGUGUUUUUUAAACUCCCUUAACUUCGGAGUAUGGCUAAGUACAUUUAAGGAACUUAAAUGGCAGUUAUUUUUUUUUUCGUAAAAAGUAAUUAGGAGCGUUGUUGUAACACAGACAAAUUAAAUCCACCAAACCUUUGAAAAUUUUGACAUAAAUAUCGAUCGUCCGAGAUAGAACUUGCGUUUAGUAGCAAAUGUAUAACUACGUUUACACGUUUGUAGGGGCCUUACAGGAUUUUUUUAAACUCUACCUAUGUUACAUAAUAUCAGUUUUUUUUAAUCUGUAUGUAACUUAGUAAUACAUUGUUUGUUUGUUUAAUUCUAGAGAAAGUUCUAAAAUUGUAUAAUGUGUGUAAUACAAGUUUACUAAUUUUAUGAUACUGUAAAGGGCUACGGUUUUUCUGAGGUGGGGAAUGUAAAUGCUCGAGGUAGAUUUCUGAUAAUAUUUAAUUCUAUUUUUUCUUGAAACUAAGAACAGAAAUAUCAUCUAUCGUUGUUGCUUGCCACCUUCAGAAUGAAUCUCCUGCAGAUCUUUAUUCCUCCAGCAGGGCGAUAUUUCUGAAUUAAAAUAAACGUUGCCAGUUACCCUCGGUUGAAAGUGGCAAUCAUCAUCACAAAACUACACCCUAUCCUAUUCUACCCUAACUACAGACUCCUACCUACUCCAGGCCCCUACAGUGUAAAUAAUUUUCCUAAAACCCCUUUGCUAUGAGUCAGCCUUAUUCAAGGUAGCUCUUGUCCAAACCAUCCGCACAGGUCAUGCCUAUGGCUACGAUCCUCGCAAAACGGUUGAAUACGGCUUUUGGUAAGGGAAAAACACGGUAAAACAACCUUACCCCUGACUCCUCGGCUAAACCCUUUUUAUAUUUGAACUUACUGACAGCUAAUUGCCACUGGUCAUAACUAGAUGACAUUUGACUUUGUCAGCUGUUAAAAAAAUCACCUUUUUAAAAAAAAAAAUAGAAAACCGCGAAUUUUAUUUAAUACACGCGACAAUAAUAAAUCAUAUUUAUAGAAGCUGAUUUUCUUCAUCGGUGGUGGCGUAGAGGUGGGGGUCGCAUAUGUCCGCCUGCCUUCUCGCCGCACCUUCCAUGAAGAAGUCGAGCCAGAAAUCGGCUCGUAGCUGAUUCAGGUCGUUAGGCAGCAACGUGGAAGCGGGGGCUGCAUAUGGCCGCCAAUCUUCCCGCCGCGCGCCUUCCGAGAUGAAUAUGAACCUUGUAGGGCUCGUAUCUGUCGCCGCUUCCUGCUGAGCUAUUGAAGGAGUAUGUCAUCGAGCUGGGCAUUUCAGUGUACCGUCAAGUAGAGUAAAUACAUAUAUGCUGUUCUCUACACUAACAAACGUUAUAAGAGUGUUAGUAUUACAGUGUGUUAAUUCCAUAGAACCUUAAAAUUGUAAUACUGUUAUUGAGAAAUUACAAACAUCUGUGUGUUAUAAUUAUUACAACAUUGCAACAGUAAUCUUCAUAUAUAAUUUACUUAACCUCAUGUCAUAUAAAUUAAAUAAAAAUGUUCGGGCUCCGCUUCAUGGAUACGAUCACAUGACAUAAACUCGUUUUUACCCUAAUAAUAUAUUCAUAUUUUUUACUAAGUCCCUUUGAAGAAAAUCUUGUUUAAAAUUUAGAUUGCGUCUUUAUUUACUACUUGUCUUGUUUACUUUAGGAUUUUCGUUAGACGCAAAUACGCGGCUGGCUUGUGAAAAAGUAUACUUUACAAAAGGGAGAAAAAUCAGUGUCAUAUUAGUAACAUAGGUACAAUUGUUUAUUUGUAUGAAACUACUUUAUUAGAACGUUAUUUUGUCACCAGCAGAUAUUACCCUCCAAACUUAGGGUACUUUUCAGUGACAGGCUAAUUUUUGACUGCCAUCCAACGAGUAGGUUUGGUAAAACAUGGACAGUUGCAAGAAGGGCAAUUCGAUAUACAUGAAUUAUAUAUUUUAAGAAAGGUAAAAAAUCCAGCUUUUGUUUUAUGUAAGAUUUGGACUGUGCUAUGUCCGUCAUUUCUGCAGCUAACCGUACAUUACCAUGAAAGUAAGGGACAGUGAAUCUUAUAUCAAAUUAAUAUUAUUACUUUUGUUUACUGACAGAGAACUAACGUACUAAAUGUGCUCAUCAUUUCCUACAAGAAGUAAUUGAUUAAUUUUGAUUAUAAAUUAAUGUAAUUUUCACAAAUUCCAAAGUAAUCUCAAUCACAAGUAGUUGUAACUACAUGUUAUCAACUACAAACAAUUCAACUACAUGUAAUCUAAUUUGUAGUUAAAAUUACUCAAGUAAUUGAUUACGCCCAAUACUGCUUAGCCAUACCCCGAAAUUAACGGAAUUCAAUGAAACACGGUUAAUACAAUAAUGAUACUUAGUAAUACAAUAAUGAUACUCAUACAAUAAUGAUACUCAGUAAUACAAUAAUGAUACUUAGUUAUUAGUUAUACAAUAAAGAUUUUUUUUUCUCUAGUUCGAUACAUAUUGUAUUACAUUUGUGAAUUUCACUCUUGUUUGCCUGCAAUGUUUACUAGGCUAAAACGAUAAACCGAUAUUGAUAAAAGAAUAUCUCCGAAGGAAAUUAUAUGCAAGACUCCUAUGCGAGAUUCGUAUUAAGUACUUACUUCCAUGUACUAGUUAGUAUCGCAUGACAUGAGGACCUUAUCGAAAUGAAAGUAGUGAUAAUUCCAUUGAGGUAUUAUGUAGUACUAGAGAAGACCACUGGAAGAAAAUGCUUCCACACCUCAAUGAAGUGCCGGCACUUCACUGCGUUUAGUACGUCUCCGACUGCUGGCGAGAUGCCACGCAUGUGUCACAAAUAAAAAAUAAAA